AGUGAACGCUGGCGGUAGGCCUAACACAUGCAAGUCGAACGGCAGCACAGUAAGAGCUUGCUCUUACGGGUGGCGAGUGGCGGACGGGUGAGGAAUACAUCGGAAUCUACUUUUUCGUGGGGGAUAACGUAGGGAAACUUACGCUAAUACCGCAUACGUCCUACGGGUGAAAGCAGGGGAUCUUCGGACCUUGCGCGAUUGAAUGAGCCGAUGUCGGAUUAGCUAGUUGGCGGGGUAAAGGCCCACCAAGGCGACGAUCCGUAGCUGGUCUGAGAGGAUGAUCAGCCACACUGGAACUGAGACACGGUCCAGACUCCUACGGGAGGCAGCAGUGGGGAAUAUUGGACAAAGGGCGCAAGCCUGAUCCAGCCAUACCGCGUGGGUGAAGAAGGCCUUCGGGUUGUAAAGCCCUUUUGUUGGGAAAGAAAAGCAGCAGGUUAAUACCCCGCUGUUCUGACGGUACCCAAAGAAUAAGCACCGGCUAACUUCGUG
rnacentral:rRNA from 1 species